GUUGUCUGUUAUUACGUAUAUAAAUUCUCACGGUAGUAAGUCGAUAAUAAAAUCGAGGUCACUUCCGGCUUUCAUCCCCGAGACCUUUUAAACGUAAAACGUAAUUCUAAUAAAAAAUUGAACAAUCAAUGUUUUUAAUACCGUCAUUUUAAUUAUUUAUAUGACGAUAAUUAAUACGUUUCCAUAUUAAAAUCGAAACGAGCAUAAUUAUUAACAUACGUGUGAAAUAUUUUCUGUAUAAUUGAACAAUUCCGCAAACGAAGCUAUACUUUUGCAAUUAUUGCAUCAAGUGAUGAGAUGUGCAACAUAAGCAACAUUGCGAAAAUCGAUAUUGGAAUUUAAGAAAUUCUUCGGAUUGUAUUGGACGGGUUUACGAACAGGGUACUCUCAUUCAAGAAUGAACGUCGAAAUGUGAGCGUAUCGUCUAAAAAUACUGUUGGUGGGCCGAGGUGCGCCUAGCAACAGAGAUUGCAUAGAAGCAUAACUAUAGUGAACGUGCGUGUUUAUACGUCGAGGCACAACGAGGACAUGA